GGAGAGUUGGCUGAGCUGGUUGAAGGCGCACGACUGGAAAUCGUGUAUACGUUGAUAGCGUAUCGAGGGUUCGAAUCCCUUGCUCUCCGCCA
rnacentral:tRNA from 1 species